rnacentral:tRNA from 1 species
GUAGACGUUAGCUCAGUGGUUACAGCACAGGCCUCUGGCUCUCGGGUCCGCGAGUUCGAGUCCCGUCGUCUACU